rnacentral:rRNA from 1 species
UACGGAGGGGGCUAGCGUUGUUCGGAAUUACUGGGCGUAAAGCGCACGUAGGCGGAUUGGAAAGUUGGGGGUGAAAUCCCGGGGCUCAACCCCGGAACUGCCUUCAAAACUCCCAGUCUGGAGGUCGAGAGAGGUGAGUGGAAUUCCGAGUGUAGAGGUGAAAUUCGUAGAUAUUCGGAGGAACACCAGUGGCGAAGGCGGCUCACUGGCUCGAUACUGACGCUGAUGCACGAAAGCGUGGGGAGCAAACAGG